rnacentral:lncRNA from 1 species
CUUGAUGAUAUAGCAAUGCAUGGUUCUUGUCUUGUACGUACUGGAUCGGUAGUUUUGUUUUUUUUACAGACGACUCGGUUUAGGGAUAUUUUAUCUUAAGCUUGUGCCCACACAAAAUAAAGCAUGUACGAGGAAAUUGAAAUUGUUUAUCUAAUUAUGAUAAACAUGAACUCAUGUUCUCCUAUAUCAAUCAUCUUUAUCAUGUGUCCUUCAAAAAAGUUGAUCAUGUGUAAGUAAUGAAACAUUUUUGUACGCCGGUGCUCUUUUCCUCUUCCUCUUUUUUUUCAUCAAAAUAUUUAACAAG